UGGGGAAUAUUGGACAAUGGGCGAAAGCCUGAUCCAGCCAUGCCGCGUGAGUGACGAAGGCCUUAGGGUUGUAAAACUCUUUCGUCGGGGACGAUAAUGACGGUACCCGAAGAAGAAGCUCCGGCUAACUUCGUGCCAGCAGCCGCGGUAAUACGAAGGGAGCUAGCGUUGUUCGGAAUCACUGGGCGUAAAACGCACGUAGGCGGAUAGUUAAGUCAGGGGUGAAAUCCUGGGGCUCAACCCCAGAACUGCCUUUGAUACUGGCUGUCUCGAGGUCGAGAGAGGUUGGUGGAAUUCCUAGUGUAGAGGUGAAAUUCGUAGAUAUUAGGAAGAACACCAGUGGCGAAGGCGGCCAACUGGCUCGAUACUGACGCUGAGGUGCGAAAGCGUGGGGAGCAAACAGGAUUAGAUACCCAAGUAGUCCCUGAGCGGGCUGGCAAGGCGCAU
rnacentral:rRNA from 1 species